ACGCUCGACACCUACGGGAGGCAGCAGUGGGGAAUAUUGCACAAUGGGGGAAACCCUGAUGCAGCGACGCCGCGUGAGCGAAGAAGUAUCUCGGUAUGUAAAGCUCUAUCAGCAGGGAAGAAGAUGACGGUACCUGACUAAGAAGCACCGGCUAAAUACGUGCGUAGCAGCCGCGGUAAUCUGAGGCGGGCUGGCAAGGC
rnacentral:rRNA from 1 species